CCUACGGGGGGCUGCAGUGGGGAAUAUUGGACAAUGGGGGGAACCCUGAUCCAGCCAUGCCGCGUGUGUGAAGAAGGCCCUCGGGUUGUAAAGCACUUUCAGUGAGGAAGAACGCCUGGUGGUUAAUACCCAUCAGGAAAGACAUCACUCACAGAAGAAGCACCGGCUAACUCCGUGCCAGCAGCCGCGGUAAUACGGAGGGUGCGAGCGUUAAUCGGAAUUACUGGGCGUAAAGCGCGCGUAGGUGGCUUGAUAAGCCGGUUGUGAAAGCCCCGGGCUCAACCUGGGAACGGCAUCCGGAACUGUCAAGCUAGAGUGCAGGAGAGGAAGGUAGAAUUCCCGGUGUAGCGGUGAAAUGCGUAGAGAUCGGGAGGAAUACCAGUUGCGAAGGCGGCCUUCUGGACUGACACUGACACUGAGGUGCGAAAGCGUGGGUAGCAAACAGGAUUAGAUACCCUUGUAGUC
rnacentral:rRNA from 1 species